rnacentral:rRNA from 1 species
CCGACUGUUUAAUUAAAACAAAGCAUUGCGAAACUUUUAACUAGAUUUUUACGUAAUGUGAUUUCUGCUCAGUGCUCUGAAUGUCAAAGUGAAGUAAUUCAACCAAGCGCGGGUAAACAGCGGGAGUAACUAUGACUCUCUUAAGGUAGCCAAAUGCCUCGUCAUCUAAUUAGUGACGCGCAUGAAUGGAUUAACGAGAUUCCCACUGUCCCUACUUGCUAUCUAGCGAACCAACAGCCAAGGGAACGGGCUUGGCAAUGUCAGCGGGGAAAGAAGACCCUAUUGAGCUUGACUCUAGUCUAAAAUUGUGAAAUAUUUUUAUGGGUGUAGAAUAGGUGGGAGUUUGUAAAAACAAUCUUGAAAUACCACUACCGUAAAUAAUAUUUUACUUAUCUAAUUAUUAUAUAACAUUAUUAGAAAUAAUAAUGUAUUUUUGUAUUACGAAACAAUUUCUUUGUUUUUAAUAAUAUUGGUUAGAAAAAAUUUUAGUUU